GGAAAAGGCAGAAAAGGGUGUCGCGAUGGAGGAGCAGGGACACGCUGCACGAGAGGACUGGACAAGCGGGAGUGACGUGCAGGGACGCAGAAGGGGUCGAGAGUCUGACGCGGAGCAACGCACUGGAGUGACGACGCACGGCAGACAGACAGCAGGCGGCCUGGACGAGCACAUGGCGACGGGAGAUGUCGGCUCAACGCUCGCAAUACGCUAACGGCGCAGGAAAGACUGGAGCAGGAGUUGCAGGGCCGUAGCCAGGCUAAAAGAGGUCGAGGAGCACGGCCACCCUCUGGACUCCUCUUCCCCCCCAGCAAAGUAAGGCAGCUGGAACAAAUCCGGUGGCUUACAUUGGACGGAAAGAGCUGAGAACUAUUUUAGGUUGAUUUUUGUCUUUUAUUGUAUAUUUUUUAAUUGUUUUUAUUCAUUUUUAACCAUCCCGUUAAAUCCUGGAAUUAAAUAAUCCAAACAUCA